GCGUGGGUGAUGAAGGCCCUAGGGUUGUAAAGCCCUUUCAGCGGGGAAGAUAAUGACGGUACCCGCAGAAGAAGCCCCGGCUAACUUCGUGCCAGCAGCCGCGGUAAUACGAAGGGGGCUAGCGUUGCUCGGAAUUACUGGGCGUAAAGCGCACGUAGGCGGCUUUCUAAGUCGGGGGUGAAAUCCUGGAGCUCAACUCCAGAACUGCCUUCGAUACUGGAAAGCUCGAGUCCGGGAGAGGUGAGUGGAACUGCGAGUGUAGAGGUGAAAUUCGU
rnacentral:rRNA from 1 species